AACGCACAUUGCGCCCUCUGGUAUUCCGGGGGGCAUGCCUGUUCGAGCGUCAUUACAACCCUCAAGCUCUGCUUGGUAUUGGGUGUCACCAGUCUGGUGCAUCUUAAAGUCAGUGGCGGUGCCAUUCCGGCUUCAAGCGUAGUAACAUCUUUCGCUAAGGAGCUGGGUGCGUGCCUGCCAGAAACCCCAAUUUUUCAAAGGUUGACCUCGGAUCAGGUAGGGAUACCCGCUGAACUUAA
rnacentral:misc_RNA from 1 species